GGUUGUAUAGUGUAGCGGUCAGCACAUCAGAUUCUGAUUCUGAAGACCUGGGUUCGAUUCCCAGUACGACCU